rnacentral:rRNA from 1 species
AUGGCUCAGAACGUACGCUGGCGGCACGCCUAACACAUGCAAGUCGAACGAAGUAGCAAUACUUAGUGGCAGACGGGUGAGUAACAUGUGGGUAUCUGCCCUUUGGCCUGGAAUAACACGAGGAAACUUGUGCUAAUACCGGAUAAGUCUUUACGGAGAAAGCUUUAUGCACCAUUGGAUGAGCCCGCACUUGAUUAGUUUGUUGGUGGGGUAAUGGCCUACCAAGACUGUGAUCAAUAGCUGAUUUGAGAGGAUGAUCAGCCACAUUGGGACUGAGACACGGCCCAAACUCCUACGGGAGGCAGCAGUGGGGAAUCUUGCACAAUGGAGGAAACUCUGAUGCAGCGAUGCCGCGUGAGUGAAGAAGGCCCUUGGGUUGUAAAGCUCUUUCGUCGGGGAAGAAAAUGACUGUACCCGAAUAAGAAGGUCCGGCUAACUUCGUGCCAGCAGCCGCGGUAAUACGAAGGGACCUAGCGUAGUUCGGAAUUACUGGGCUUAAAGAGUUCGUAGGUGGUUGAAAAAGUUAGUGGUGAAAUCCCAGAGCUUAACUCUGGAACUGCCAUUAAAACUUUUCAGCUAGAGUAUGAUAGAGGAAAGCAGAAUUUCUAGUGUAGAGGUGAAAUUCGUAGAUAUUAGAAAGAAUACCAAUUGCGAAGGCAGCUUUCUGGAUCAUUACUGACACUGAGGAACGAAAGCAUGGGUAGCGAAGAGGAUUAGAUACCCUCGUAGUCCAUGCCGUAAACGAUGUGUGUUAGACGUUGGAAAUUUAUUUUCAGUGUCGCAGCGAAAGCGAUAAACACACCGCCUGGGGAGUACGACCGCAAGGUUAAAACUCAAAUGAAUUGACGGGGACCCGCACAAGUAGUGGAGCAUGUGGUUUAAUUCGAAGAUACGCGCAGAACCUUACCAACACUUGACAUGUUCGUCGCGACUCUAAGAGAUUAGAGUUUUCGGUUCGGCCGGACGAAACACAGGUGCUGCAUGGCUGUCGUCAGCUCGUGUCGUGAGAUGUUGGGUUAAGUCCCGCAACGAGCGCAACCCUCACUUUUAGUUGCCAUCAUUAAGUUGGGCACUCUGAAAGAACUGCCAGUGAUAAGCUGGAGGAAGGUGGGGAUGACGUCAAGUCCUCAUGGCCCUUACGUGUUGGGCUACACACGUGCUACAAUGGUAUCUACAACAGGAAG